AAAGUCGUAACAAGGUCUCCGUUGGUGAACCAGCGGAGGGAUCAUUGCUGGAAGCGCCGCAAGGCGCACCCAGAAACCCUUUGUGAACUUAUACCUACAUCGUUGCCUCGGCGCUGGCUGCCUCUCCCUCGUGGAGGGGGCCCCCUCCCGGUCGUAAAAAAGCCGGGGGAGGACAGCAGGCCCGCCGGUGGCCUAUUAAACUAUUGUAUUAAUCGAGUAAAAUCUGAGUAAAGCUUCUAAAUAAAUUAAAACUUUCAACAACGGAUCUCUUGGUUCUG
rnacentral:misc_RNA from 1 species